GCUGGGCGUGGUGGCUCACGCCUGUAAUCCAGCACUUUGGGAGGCCGAGGUGGGCGGAUCACCUGAGGUCAGGAGUUUGAGACCAGCCUGACCAACAUGGUGAAACCCCGUCUCUA
rnacentral:SRP_RNA from 1 species